AUUCCCAUGUCAAUGUCGCCAUACCAUUCUAGACAUAUUCACGUGAUAAACGUUUCACGUUACACCUUCCCCCUUAUACAAAAAGGUGUUUACAUUAAACAGCUUUUUCAUUCAUAACAUUACGCUUUUGUUAACAUGAUAGUAAGUCCGGAUUUAAUAGUUCAUUCAAAGUCACUCGUCGUACUACUUCAAUGGUUCAUUCAAUAACCGUAAAUUUGGCGCACAUCAAAAUCCGUAUAUGUAAACGAUACAGACAAAAGGUAGUUUUUCCAUAUAUUAUCUACUGUCUCUGGAUUAUUCACAGGCAAUAAUAUUGGUAGGACAUAGAUACCAGAUCACAAGGCCUGUUAGUCUUGUUCGGUGCUUCAACAGGAUCACACAGCCUUAUAUACACCCAAAUAUUAUAAAGAUUCUGGGCUGCAAUAGUCUGAGUAGUGGUGAUUUUAGUAAAGAGCUCGUCAAAGUGUUGCGCAAAGGUACGUGGUGCUUGUCCUCUAGCAAAUUCGGAGGGUAUCCUGGCUUUAACGCCAAAAACUAAUUCGUGAGGAGUAAAACCUGUAGCCUCAUGUGUGGAGUGCAAUAAUGUUUCAGAUAAUUAGAAAACUCCUGUGUGCCCUUUCAAGUGAACCUAAAGACUGAGGAUGGAAAGCUGUUGAAGUUAUUCUUUGAAUCUUGAAAAUCCUACAGAAAUGUUUCAUCACCUGACUAGUGAAAUUCCUUCCCUGGUCAGUAUGGAUUACCCUGUGGACACCCAAUCUGCUAAAAAAUUGCUCAGUAAAUGCAUGAGCGACUGUUUUCGUGUCGAUGGUUCUCAAAGAAACUGUUACCGAGGUCACGAUCCCUUUGGGAAUCCCAGUGCCAACUUGUCCACGCUGCCUAGUUUCCUUACUAAGGCAUUCCACAACAUCAACCCUAGGACCAUGCAAGCAUGUAUUCACGCACGCUGGGCAAAUAAAUGGCCUGUCGGGUUGAAAACAUUUUCCCGUGCCGCACCCGCAUGUACAUCUGGGGUGGAUUUCACGGUGGGUCCAGCAUAUCCACUAGCUGCGACCUCAUUCUCACACUCACCCGAAACCACUCUUCGAAGUGAGGACAACCACACAGUAAACCACACAGUAACGGGGAUCACACCCCUGCGCUGGCACAAGCCGCACCGGGACCACACAGGCACCCAAAUAGGAUGAUCCCUUCAGAGAUUUAAAUAAACUUCCUGAUGAUACUACUUCCAAAUACAAAGUUCCUUGCACUUUGUUAGUGACCUCGUUUUAUUUAACCGCUGCCUUCCCGCGCGCCAGGAAUGCAGAAGCCACAAGCGACUCAUUAUCAACAAACUGUAUUUCAUCCAACCCGGCCAUUUCAGAACCUGCAACUGGUGUCUCACCUGCGCAGGCAAGCACCCUUUCCAGACACCAUGAACCGGGAUUGGAAUCCACGCCAGACCGUACGGUAAAUGGUUGAGGAUCAGAAUUUAUACAGGUUGCUACAGGGUUCCGCGAAAGUGCGUCGGCAUUGGCGUUAACCUUUCCAGGUGUACGGCUCCAUCCGUCGGCGACCCGUUGAUUAGGUUGACCUCGGUUUAUGGGAAGAUUCCUUAGUACUCCGGCUCGAUGGUCCCCAAUUCAGCAACAGGUACCCCAGUAAAAUCCGUCCGCAAUCAGC